GAUGAAGAACGUAGCGAAAUGCGAUAAGUAGUGUGAAUUGCAGACUUUAGUGAAUCAUCGAAUCUUUGAACGCACAUUGCGCCCCUUGGUAUUCCAUUGGGCAUGCCUGUUCGAGCGUCAUUUACACCCUCAAGCCUAGCUUGGUGUUGGGCGUUGUCCGCAAGGACUCGCCUCAAAUUCAUUGGCAGCGGCAUCGUCAGCUUCUCGCGCAGCACAUUGCGCUUCAGAAGGCUUCUGGCGGGCUCGCGUCCACUAAGAUACCACCCAGUUUGACCUCGAAUCAGGCAGGGAUACCCGCUGAACUUAAGCAUAUCAAUAAGCGGAGGA
rnacentral:misc_RNA from 1 species